UACGUAGGGGGCUAGCGUUGUCCGGAAUCAUUGGGCGUAAAGCGCGUGUAGGCGGUCCGGUAAGUCCGCUGUGAAAGUCGGGGGCUCAACCCUCGAAUGCCGGUGGAUACUGUCGGGCUAGAGUGCGGAAGAGGCGAGUGGAAUUCCUGGUGUAGCGGUGAAAUGCGCAGAUAUCAGGAGGAACACCAAUUGCGAAGGCAGCUCGCUGGGACGUUACUGACGCUGAGACGCGAAAGCCAGGGGAGCGAACGGG
rnacentral:rRNA from 1 species